AAAGACCUAUUUACGCGCUGUGUGACUUUGAGCCAGGCACCCAUUCUGAGCCUCGGUUUUUUUUUUUUCUAGAAAACAUCUUCAUCCUCCAGUUGGACAGCAAUGUGAACGUACUUCAUAACGCCGAACUGUAUGCUUCAAGUGUUAAGAUGGUAAACUUUAUGUUUUGUGUGUUUUAACACAAUUUCUUUCUUUUUUUUUUAACGUUUAUUUUUGAGACAGAGAGAGACAGAGCAUGAACGGGGAAGGGUCAGAGAGAGGGAGACACAGAAUCUGAAACAGGCUCCAGGCUCUGAGCUGUCAGCACAGAGCCCGACGCGGGGCUUGAACUCACUGACCGCGAGAUCAUGACCUGAGCCAAAGUCGGACGCUCAACCGACUGAGCCACCCAGGCGCCCCUAACACAAUUUCUUAAAUUGAAAAAAAAAAGGGAAAAAGAAAGGCUUAAGCUUUCUCAUUCCUCUUUCCCCCUUGCCACUGGCUGGGGUGUAGAAAUGAUGGCAGGAGCUCAGGCAGCCUUUUUGGACUCACAGAUGGAAGUCACCUGUUGAGCAUGGCUGUACAGUCGGAUGCAAGGACAAUGGUUCCUAGGACACUGCCAGGAGACAGAGACUCCGAGAGUGGCCAGAAAACAAACAGGCCAGUAACUGCCUUGGUCUGAGAGUCCUCACCGAGCGGGAGUCUCCUCCAGACCUCCUCAUUCGGGGUUUAGAGCAUCAGGUUCUGGUCUCUUCCGGGCAGAAGAAACAUCCUUGUCCUCGUGCACCUGACUUUUAAAAUCAUUUCUAUUUUUCUUAAGUUUGUUUAUUUAUUUGAGAGAGACAGAGAGUGAGUGGGGGAGGGACAGAGAGAGAGAGAGAGAGAGAGAGAGAGAGAGAGAGAGAGAGAGAUUGAGAAUCCCAAGCAGGCUCCAUGCUGCCAACACAGAGCCAGACAUGGGGCUCGAACCCACGAACCGUGAGAUCAGGACCUGAGCCGAAACCAAGAAUCAGCAGCCUAAUCGACUGAGCCACCCAGGCGCCCCAA
rnacentral:lncRNA from 1 species